rnacentral:rRNA from 1 species
CCCUUAGAUGUUCUGGGCCGCACGCGCGCUACAAUGAUGAAUUCAACGAGUUUAUAACCUUGGUUGAAAAGCCUGGGUAAUCUUUUGAACUUUCGUCGUGAUGGGGCUAGACCCUUGCAAUUAUUGGUCUCCAACGAGGAAUUCCUAGUAAACGCAAGUCAUCAGCUUGCAUUGAUUACGUCCCUGCCCUUUGUACACACCGCCCGUCGCACCUACCGAUUGAGUGAUCCGGUGAAUGUUUUGGAUCGGCUUCAAGUUGGUUCGCGCCUCUUGCUUGCUGUGAAAUCAUGUAAACCUUAUUGCUUAGAGGAAGGAGAAGUCGUAACA